UUCCCACCACCAAACCUUCUCCCCCCUUCUCUCGUUUGUUCCUACUGGUCGCUGGUCGUCGUUGCCGGUUGCUCCUAGCUAUUGCCACCACAAGUCUGGCUUCUCCACCAACGUCCGGCACCGGAUACGGCUUCCGCGGCACCUAGCACGGCUGGACAUACACAAGACCGGCGGUGGUGAGGCUAUGCCACGAGGCCGGCGAGGAGAGACGCCAGAUCACGCCGGCGGAAGAAGGAUCCACUGUCGUGGGCGUUGGGGAGACCUGCUCCGGCGUUGUUCGACCACAACGGGCACCAACCACGACGGGUCAACGAGGAGGGUCGUUGCCGGAUCCGACGACUCCAAGCAUGGCUGGCACCGGAUCUGGUGAUUCAUGAAGCCCACGACAAGAUGCAUCCAGCCCCACCCCAGGAGAAUCCACUUCAUUUCUGCAAAUCUCUCCAGGAAACUUUUUGGCAAGGAAUGCAGCAAUCAUAGCCAUCUGACCUCUGACAUCCCCUACAUCACCUUUGACUUCCUUUACAUCACCUUUGACGUCCUCUACAUCAUCUUUGACAUCUUCUACAUUAUCUUUCACCAUGCGUACUUCAAACUGAAGAUUUUCUUGGUCAGAUUUCCCAACAAAAGUUAUUCCCCGAGAAACAUUUACUCCGCUCCAAUACUUUUCAUCAUAGUAACCUCGAAGUUUUGCCCUUUUAUCAAGUGCACCUUUAAAGGCUUCAGUAUAAUCGUCAAUGGAAAGGCUACCAUUAUGAUCGAUUUUCCUUUUUUUAACUCCUCAUUAGCUGCAUCCUAUUGAAUAGGAAUAAUUAUUAAUUCAUUACUAUACUAUGGAAUAGAUUGUAUGUUGGACUGUAGACAAAAUAAGUAGAAUGUACCAUUAUUGUCCUCACAUUGUCGCUUGUGUAAUUGCCAUCUUUUUUCUUAUGAGCUUCAUCCCAUAGGUCAAUCUUGUGGAUCGGUGCUUUCCUUUUGAUUUCCUAGCCAACAAAGUAUGUUAGGUCCACUAAUAGUUAUUUUUGAAGAUAAUUGAUUUGUCAUGUAAUAAAGACUAUGAAAA